rnacentral:lncRNA from 1 species
AAAAACCAUUUGGUUUUCUUUUCUAACCUCUCUCUACUUCAUCUCAUUGAGGUUUGAAUUCUAUCUCUCUCUUGAACCAUAUAAACCAAAAGUCUUAAAACACAAAAAGAAAAAAGAAAAAAGAAAAAAACCCUCUCUAUCAUUCUCUAAAAUUCACUAUUAACCAUUGACAAUCUAAUUGGGAAAUGAAAAUUCAAGAUGAAAGUCAAAGGUUUUGGCUUAGAGAUAUUACAGUAUGGGGUUGUUGCAUUUAGAUCUCCUAUUCAAGUUAAAUUUCUCUCAAUUUUGUAGAGAUCUUUAAAAAAAAGAUAAAACCAUAAGAUUUUUUUUUGUUCAUUGCAUAAAAUAUAUAUGUUUUUGUUUAAAAUAUAAACGUAUUUAUAUAUUAUUGCUUUUUGUUAGAAAAUGCUUUUUUAUUUUUUUAGUACAAAAGAAAUGAAAGAUACCACUUAUAAUCUUAAGAGCUUAGAUCUUACAACCCCUAACAUAUUGGCUUUGAAAUAUAUAGAAAUAAUAAGUAUAAUAAAGGAUUUUUUUUUAAUUUUAUGAUUUAAAAUAUAAAAAAAAUUAUCCAAUCCACAAAUCCUAAAACUUUUAAACGGCAUUAGAUGGGCUUAGAUAAUUAGGACAUGUUCAAUUAAAUUGCAAAUAAAGAAAUCAUUAUAUAUAAUUAACUAGUUUUUUUAACUGGUCCCAUGCAC